CUCCAGCAUCUUGUCUUGACUCCUGAUCACACAGACCAGCUCCAGCAUCUUGUCUUGACUCCUGAUCACACAGACCAUCUCCAGCAUCUUGUCUUUUCUCCUGUUCACACAGACCAGCUACAGCAUCUUGUCUUGACUCCUGAUCACACAGACCAGAUCCAGCAUCUUGUCUUGACUCCUGAUCACACAGACCAGCUCCAGCAUCUUGUCUUGACUCCUGAUCACACAGACCAGCUCCAGCAUCUUGUCUUGACUCCUGAUCACACAGACCAGCUCCAGCAUCUUGUCUUGACUCCUGAUCACACAGACCAGCUCCAGCAUCUUGUCUUGACUCCUGUUCACACAGACCAGCUCCAGCAUCUUGUCUUGACUCCUGAUCACACAGACCAGAUCCAGCAUCUUGUCUUGACUCCUGAUCACACAGACCAGAUCCAGCAUCUUGUCUUGACUCCUGAUCACACAGACCAGCUCCAGCAUCUUGUCUUGACUCCUGUUCACACAGACCAGCUCCAGCAUCUUGUCUUGACUCCUGUUCACACAGACCAGCUCCAGCAUCUUGUUACUGAAGCUCAACAGAACCUACAGAAUCUACUUGUGAAUCCAGUCUAAAUUCCUGUCAAUCAUGAGGUCCUUGGCUGUAGCUGUAACCCUGUGUGCACUGCUGCCACUUUUCCAUGCUGGCUGCUGGAUUGAACCAGCUAAACCAGGCAUGAGGCAGUGUCUUUACGACAAGGAUGGGACGUGGCAUGAUAUCGGGUCCCGCUGGAGGACCAGUGAUUGCAUGAACUGCUAUUGUCAAGCCAACGGGGACAUGUCAUGCUGCCAGGCGUAUUCUGAGCCCACAAGAUUUCCUGAUGAUUGCAUGAAGGAGUUUGACCAAAAGGCAUGUAAAUACAACGUGUUCAAGAAGAAUGAUCGCUCCAUUCCAUGUCCUAUCUACGGUGGUAAGGGGAAGUGAUGGGUUUUCUUCCCCCUGCUCUCAAUAAACAGGGAAUGAAGGAUGAAAGGGAAAAGUACAGUAAUUGUUUUAUAGAUUUAAUUGACAUAAUUGUUAGCUUAGCUCUGCCAUACUGUCUGGUAACUUUCUGUAACUGUAAUGAUUGAAAAGCCAUACUGUAAUAUGUCUAUCAUUGAAGAUCUGUUAUCAUCUGUGCUGACUGUGUCAUGAGAAGAACCUGGGUUCAAAUACUAUCUGAAACUGUGAGCGUUUGAUCUGUCCUGCCUGGAGUGCCAGAUGGGUGGGGUUUGCUAUUUUGGGACAAUUCUAUUGGUUCAUUAAGCCAGUGUUUCCCGACCCUGGUCCUCGAGUAUCCCCAACAGUACACAUGUUUACUGUAAACCAGGACAAGCACACUUGAUUCAACUUGUUGACUAAUCAUAAAGCCUUCAAUGAGUUGAAUGAGGUGUGUUUGUCCAGGGCUACAGUGUAAAUGUGUUCUGUUCGGGGUUCUGGAGGACCAGGGUUGGGCUGUUUGGGGUUCUGGAGGACCAGGGUUGGGCUGUCCGGGUACUGGAAGACCAGGG